UACGUAGGGUGCAAGCGUUGUCCGGAAUCAUUGGGCGUAAAGCGCGUGUAGGCGGCCCGGUAAGUCCGCUGUGAAAGUCGGGGGGCUCAACCCUCGGAUGCCGGUGGAUACUGUCGGGCUCGAGUACGGAAGAGGCGAGUGGAAUUCCUGGUGUAGCGGUGAAAUGCGCAGAUAUCAAGGAGGAACACCUAUGGCGAAGGCAGCUCGCUGGGACGUUACUGACGCUGAGACGCGAAAGCGUGGGGAGCAAACAGG
rnacentral:rRNA from 1 species